UACGGAGGGUGCGAGCGUUAAUCGGAAUCACUGGGCGUAAAGCGUACGUAGGCGGCCAUGCAAGUCAGACGUGAAAGCCCUCGGCUCAACCGAGGAAUUGCGUUUGAAACUGCAUGGCUCUGAGUUCGGGAGAGGGUAGCGGAAUUCCCGGUGUAGGAGUGAAAUCCGUAGAUAUCGGGAGGAACACCAGUGGCGAAGGCGGCUACCUGGGCCGAUACUGACGCUGAGGUACGAAAGCGUGGGGAGCAAACAGGAUUAGAUACCCUGGUAGUCCACGCUGUAAACGAUGGACGUUAGGUGUCGGGGGCUUGACCCUCGGUGCCGCAGCUAACGCGUUAAACGUCCCGCCUGGGGAGUACGGUCGCAAGGCUGAAACUCAAAGAAAUUGACGGGGGCCCGCACAAGCGGUGGAGUAUGUGGUUUAAUUCGAUGUCACGCGAAGAACCUUACCUGGGCUUGACAUCCCGCGAACCCUCCCGAAACGGAGGGGUGCCCUUCGGGGAGCGCGGUGACAGGUGCUGCACGGCUGUCGUCAGCUCGUGGGCGUGAGGUGUUGGGGUUAAGUCCCCGCAACGAGCGCAACCCCUAUUCUUAGUGCCAGCGAUUAAAGUCGGGCACUCUAAGGAGACUGCCUCGGUCAACGGGGAGGAAGGUGGGGAUGGCGUCAAG
rnacentral:rRNA from 1 species